rnacentral:rRNA from 1 species
GACGAACGCUGGCGGCGUGCCUAAUACAUGCAAGUCGAACGCAAAACUUUCACCGAAUGCUUGCAUUCACGAAAGUUUUGAGUGGCGAACGGGUGAGUAACACGUGGGUAACCUGCCCAGAAGAGGGGGAUAACACUUGGAAACAGGUGCUAAUACCGCAUAAUAACAAAAACCGCAUGGUUUUUGUUUGAAAGAUGGUUUUGCUAUCACUUCUGGAUGGACCCGCGGCGUAUUAGCUAGUUGGUAAGGUAAAGGCUUACCAAGGCAAUGAUACGUAGCCGAACUGAGAGGUUAAUCGGCCACAUUGGGACUGAGACACGGCCCAAACUCCUACGGGAGGCAGCAGUAGGGAAUCUUCCACAAUGGACGAGAGUCUGAUGGAGCAACGCCGCGUGAGUGAAGAAGGUUUUCGGAUCGUAAAACUCUGUUGUUAGGGAAGAACGUGUGUGAGAGUAACUGCUCAUGCAGUGACGGUAUCUAACCAGAAAGCCACGGCUAACUACGUGCCAGCCGCCGCAGUAA